rnacentral:rRNA from 1 species
AUCGAACGCUGGCGGCAGGCCUAACACAUGCAAGUCGAGCGGAUGACGGGAGCUUGCUCCUUGAUUCAGCGGCGGACGGGUGAGUAAUGCCUAGGAAUCUGCCUGGUAGUGGGGGACGACGUUUCGAAAGGAACGCUAAUACCGCAUACGUCCUACGGGAGAAAGCAGGGGACCUUCGGGCCUUGCGCUAUCAGAUGAGCCUAGGUCGGAUUAGCUAGUUGGUGGGGUAAUGGCUCACCAAGGCGACGAUCCGUAACUGGUCUGAGAGGAUGAUCAGUCACACUGGAACUGAGACACGGUCCAGACUCCUACGGGAGGCAGCAGUGGGGAAUAUUGGACAAUGGGCGAAAGCCUGAUCCAGCCAUGCCGCGUGUGUGAAGAAGGUCUUCGGAUUGUAAAGCACUUUAAGUUGGGAGGAAGGGCAGUAAGCUAAUACCUUGCUGUUUUGACGUUACCGACAGAAUAAGCACCGGCUAACUCUGUGCCAGCCGCCGCGGUAA